GAUGAACGCUUGCGACAGGCCUAACACAUGCAAGUCGAGGGGCAGCGGAGAGGUAGCAAUACCUUUGCCGGCGACCGGCGCACGGGUGAGUAACACGUAUGCAAUCCACCUGUAACAGGGGGAUAACCCGGAGAAAUCCGGACUAAUACCCCAUAAUAUGGGCGCUCCGCAUGGAGAGCCCAUUAAAGAGAGCAAUUUUGGUUACAGACGAGCAUGCGCUCCAUUAGCCAGUUGGCGGGGUAACGGCCCACCAAAGCGACGAUGGAUAGGGGUUCUGAGAGGAACGUCCCCCACAUUGGAACUGAGACACGGUCCAAACUCCUACGGGAGGCAGCAGUGAGGAAUAUUGGUCAAUGGUCGGCAGACUGAACCAGCCAAGUCGCGUGAGGGAAGACGGCCCUACGGGUUGUAAACUUCUUUUGUCGGAGAGUAAAGUACGCUACGUGUAGCGUAUUGCAAGUAUCCGAAGAAAAAGCAUCGGCUAACUCCGUGCCAGCAGCCGCGGUAAUACGGAGGAUGCGAGCGUUAUCCGGAUUUAUUGGGUUUAAAGGGUGCGUAGGCGGCACGCCAAGUCAGCGGUGAAAUUUCCGGGCUCAACCCGGAGUGUGCCGUUGAAACUGGCGAGCUAGAGUACACAAGAGGCAGGCGGAAUGCGUGGUGUAGCGGUGAAAUGCAUAGAUAUCACGCAGAACCCCGAUUGCGAAGGCAGCCUGCUAGGGUGAAACAGACGCUGAGGCACGAAAGCGUGGGUAUCAAAGAGGAUUAGAUACCCUGGUAGUCCACGCAGUAAC
rnacentral:rRNA from 1 species